UGUAUGCCAAGAAUGCGUCAAAAACGCUUCUACAGAGGCACUUAAGCGGUGCCCACUAGAAAAGGGAGCCAUAAUCUGGUUCGACGAGUGCUGGGUCUCGUGCCCGCGUUACCGUUGUCUAAUGUGCAGAAUGUGACGGAAGCGGAGCGCUUCAACCAAUUGUUGGGGGUUCUUCUGAAUAAAGUGGCGGACCAAGCCGUUAGUUCCGAGUCGGCUAAGAAGUACGCGACGGAGGAAGAGAACUUCACGUGUUCCCAGACUUUGUACAGCUUAGCACAAUGCUCAUCAGAUGCACCGACCUCUUUUUGCAACAUGUGUUUGCUUAGCGCCAUUGGUUUCAUACCAGGGUGCUGUGGUGGCAGACGAGGUGGGGCUGUUUACUUGCCCAGCUGCAUCAUUAGAUUCGAGCUCUACCCCUUCUACUAUUCAAUUUCCGCCACUCCAAUUCCACCACAAGGUAGUCAUUUUUAAUUUAUUUGGUAAUACGUUUUGUUAUCUUAAAAACUAAAAGAAAUACUAACAAAAUCCAUAAGAUUAUAUUUUGUCCAGCAGCAAAAGAAAAAGAAAAAGCUUAAACAAUUACAAUUAUUGCUAUUGUUCUCCCAAUUAGUGUGGCUAUUGUGGCCUUCUUGAUUGGCUUUUUCUACCUCCGUAAUAGGAAAACCACGAAGAUAAAAAAAUACCUCUCUGUUCGGCAAGACAGUGUUCGGGAAGAAAUUUCAGAAAGCGACACUUUUCAAUUUUCUUUGGAGGAAAUUAGGACUGCCACUAAUAACUUCUUGGAUGAAAAUAAGAUAGGAAGAGGUGGAUUUGGUGCAGUUUACAAGGGUACCCUCCCUAAUGGUCAUGAAAUUGCCGUGAAAAGACUUAAUGGAAAUAUGGGAAAAGGAGCAGAUGAACACUUUAAGAAUGAAGCCCUUUUGAUGACCAAGCUUCAACACAGAAAUCUAGCUAGGCUAAUAGGAUUUUGCUUGGAAGGACAAGAAAAAAUUCUGGUCUACGAAUAUGUACCCAAUAAAAGUCUUGAUUUCUUUCUAUUCGGUAUGGCCGAUCAUUAUACUUAGUCUGUGAAUUACUCUUUGAUCAUUUUUAUGUUUCUGCUAACUAGAAGAAUGGUACUUGAAUUUUAAUAUUGCUUCUGAUGACUUGUUAAAGUAGUACACAAUUUACUGAAUGUUCUCCUAAGGUUGGAUGAAUUUUGAUCAAUUUACUCUUAAAUAACCUUUCUAAUGGAUUCAAAUUUAUGUUAUACAUACAAAAGAAAAACAUGUUAGAUUGGACAACACGGUACAAGAUUAUAACAGGCGUUGCCAAAGGAAUUCUUUAUCUUCAUGAAGAUUCUAGACUAAAAAUUAUACAUCGUGAUUCGAAAGCUAGCAACGUUUUAUUAGAUGAUCAUAUGAAGCCUAAGAUUUCAGAUUUUGGCUUAGCAAAAGUUUUUGUUGUUGACCAAACACAUGUAAGUACCAAUCGUAUUGUUGGAACUUAUGGUUAUAUGUCUCCGGAGUACGCCAUGCAUGGGAAAUUUUCUUUUAAGUCGGAUGUGUUCAGUUUUGGUGUGUUGGUUCUAGAAAUUCUCAGUGGCAAGAGAAAAUUUUUUCCGAUGAAUCACAAGAUUACUCAGACUUGGUUUUUAUGCUCUGUUACUUAUGUCUGGUUUUCUUCUAGGUAAGAUCGCUUCUGUGUUCAUAUAAAUAUAUAUUUCUCUAUCUAUUGUUAUAAUGUAAAAAUGUCCAUAUUAAAACUCAUUUAAAGAGAGAUAAAUGAGUUUUUUUUUAUG